GAUAGUUUGAAUGCUUCAGUUUUCAAAAACAGAAAAAAAUUCCCUAUACAGGCCCAGGUACCCAUCGCUUCUCUGUGUGCUGGAAGAACUACAAAGAAUGAGAUGAGUCAUUGGUGUUUGGACAAUGUCUCCACCUAGAAACAAAGAUGAAGACUAUUACAUUUUAAAACACACAUUUCCUUCACUGGAUGCUUUAUGCAGAAAAGCUGAGCCUGCAGGAUAUGAACCAGAUGGAGAAAAAGUUUGA
rnacentral:lncRNA from 1 species